UUGCGCCUACGGGAGGCAGCAGUAGGGAAUUUUCGUCAAUGGGCGCAAGCCUGAACGAGCAAUGCCGCGUGAACGAGGAAGGUCUUCGGAUCGUAAAGUUCUGUUGAAGGGGAAAAAGAGCGGAGAGAGGAAAUGGUCUCCGAUUGAUAUUACCCUUCGAGGAAGUCACGGCUAACUACGUGCCAGCAGCCGCGGUAAUACGUAGGUGGCAAGCGUUGUCCGGAUUUAUUGGGCGUAAAGCGAGUGCAGGCGGUUCAAUAAG
rnacentral:rRNA from 1 species